CAGAUUUCAUUAUGUUUUUUUCAUUCCGUCACCGUGGUAACCUUUUUCAUUCCGUCACCGUGGUAACCUUACUUUCUUAUUCUAACAAAUUGUCGUUAAUUUUAUCUUGAAAUAAGAAAGAGAAAUUUAAAAAAGAAAAGAAGAUAAUGCAGAAAAGUAGAGAAUAUCGGGCUACAAAAUGAGUACAAUAACAGUUAUUAGUACUAAGAAUUUGACAGAUAUGCCAAGUUAUUGCUCGAAACACAACACUACAAGUUUACCCCUAGAAAUUACAAUGUCUUAAAAACAUGGUAGACUAAACCAUAGUUUAAAGACUUUUCAACAGAAAGAUUAACAGCAAAUCAUCUAAUAUAAGAUCUGGAAUUAAAUAUCAAGUCUCUUUAUUUUUACUCCUCCUCCUUGGAGAGCUUAAUCACCUGAAAUAAAUUAACAUAAUGCAGCAUUAGGCACUGUAUAUAGAAAAAUAAUUUGAAAAAGAAAAGAAACAAUGAUCUGUUUCAAAUGCAAAAGCUU
rnacentral:lncRNA from 1 species